GCAAGUCGAGGGGUACAUGGCAGCUUGCUGCCAUGGAGACCGGCGCACGGGUGCGUAACGCGUAUGCAACCUGCCCACCACAGGGGAAUAGCCCAGAGAAAUUUGGAUUAAUGCCCCAUGGCACCGCGAUCCCACAUGGGGAUGCGGUUAAAGCUCCGGCGGUGGUGGAUGGGCAUGCGUCCCAUUAGCUAGUUGGUGCGGUAACGGCGCACCAAGGCGACGAUGGGUAGGGGGUCUGAGAGGGGGGUC
rnacentral:rRNA from 1 species